GCAAGUCGAACGAGAAAGCUCUUCGGAGUGAGUAGAGUGGCGCACGGGUGAGUAACACGUAGGUGACCUACCAUACAGUGGGGGAUAACUAGGAGAAAUUCUGGCUAAUACCGCAUACGUAGAGCAAUUUUGAAAGUAGCUCUAGAAAGGAUGCUUCGGCAUUCGCUGAAUGAUGGGCCUGCGUAGCAUUAGUUUGAUGGUGGGGUAACGGCCUACCAUGACUACGAUGCUUAGCUGGUCUGAGAGGAUGAUC
rnacentral:rRNA from 1 species